rnacentral:rRNA from 1 species
AUGAACGCUAGCUACAGGCUUAACACAUGCAAGUCGAGGGGCAGCAUGAACUUAGCUUGCUAAGUUUGAUGGCGACCGGCGCACGGGUGAGUAACACGUAUCCAACCUGCCGAUGACUCGGGGAUAGCCUUUCGAAAGAAAGAUUAAUACCCGAUGGCAUAGUUCUUCCGCAUGGUAGAACUAUUAAAGAAUUUCGGUCAUCGAUGGGGAUGCGUUCCAUUAGGUUGUUGGCGGGGUAACGGCCCACCAAGCCUUCGAUGGAUAGGGGUUCUGAGAGGAAGGUCCCCCACAUUGGAACUGAGACACGGUCCAAACUCCUACGGGAGGCAGCAGUGAGGAAUAUUGGUCAAUGGACGAGAGUCUGAACCAGCCAAGUAGCGUGAAGGAUGACUGCCCUAUGGGUUGUAAACUUCUUUUAUACGGGAAUAAAGUGAGGCACGUGUGCCUUUUUGUAUGUACCGUAUGAAUAAGGAUCGGCUAACUCCGUGCCAGCAGCCGCGGUAAUACGGAGGAUCCGAGCGUUAUCCGGAUUUAUUGGGUUUAAAGGGAGCGUAGGCGGACGCUUAAGUCAGUUGUGAAAGUUUGCGGCUCAACCGUAAAAUUGCAGUUGAUACUGGGUGUCUUGAGUACAGUAGAGGCAGGCGGAAUUCGUGGUGUAGCGGUGAAAUGCUUAGAUAUCACGAAGAACUCCGAUUGCGAAGGCAGCCUGCUGGACUGUAACUGACGCUGAUGCUCGAAAGUGUGGGUAUCAAACAGGAUUAGAUACCCUGGUAGUCCACACAGUAAACGAUGAAUACUCGCUGUUUGCGAUAUACAGUAAGCGGCCAAGCGAAAGCGUUAAGUAUUCCACCUGGGGAGUACGCCGGCAACGGUGAAACUCAAAGGAAUUGACGGGGGCCCGCACAAGCGGAGGAACAUGUGGUUUAAUUCGAUGAUACGCGAGGAACCUUACCCGGGCUUGAAUUGCAACUGAAUGAUGUGGAGACAUGUCAGCCGCAAGGCAGUUGUGAAGGUGCUGCAUGGUUGUCGUCAGCUCGUGCCGUGAGGUGUCGGCUUAAGUGCCAUAACGAGCGCAACCCUUAUCGAUAGUUACCAUCAGGUGAUGCUGGGGACUCUGUCGAGACUGCCGUCGUAAGAUGUGAGGAAGGUGGGGAUGACGUCAAAUCAGCACGGCCCUUACGUCCGGGGCUACACACGUGUUACGAUGGGGGGUACAGAAGGCAGCUACACGGCGACGUGAUGCUAAUCCCGAAAGCCUCUCUCAGUUCGGAUUGGAGUCUGCAACCCGACUCCAUGAAGCUGGAUUCGCUAGUAAUCGCGCAUCAGCCACGGCGCGGUGAAUACGUUCCCGGGCCUUGUACACACCGCCCGUCACACCAUGAGAGUCGGUAACACCCGAAGCCGGUGGCCUAACCGCAAGGAAGGAGCUGUCUAAGGUGGGACUGAUGAUUGGGGUG